GAUGAACGCUGGCGGCGUGCCUAAUACAUGCAAGUCGAGCGAACGGACGAGAAGCUUGCUUCUCUGAUGUUAGCGGCGGACGGGUGAGUAACACGUGGAUAACCUACCUAUAAGACUGGGAUAACUUCGGGAAACCGGAGCUAAUACCGGAUAAUAUUUUGAACCGCAUGGUUCAAAAGUGAAAGACGGUCUUGCUGUCACUUAUAGAUGGAUCCGCGCUGCAUUAGCUAGUUGGUAAGGUAACGGCUUACCAAGGCAACGAUGCAUAGCCGACCUGAGAGGGUGAUCGGCCACACUGGAACUGAGACACGGUCCAGACUCCUACGGGAGGCAGCAGUAGGGAAUCUUCCGCAAUGGGCGAAAGCCUGACGGAGCAACGCCGCGUGAGUGAUGAAGGUCUUCGGAUCGUAAAACUCUGUUAUUAGGGAAGAACAUAUGUGUAAGUAACUGUGCACAUCUUGACGGUACCUAAUCAGAAAGCCACGGCUAACUACGUGCCAGCAGCCGCGGUAAUACGUAGGUGGCAAGCGUUAUCCGGAAUUAUUGGGCGUAAAGCGCGCGUAGGCGGUUUUUUAAGUCUGAUGUGAAAGCCCAUGGCUCAACCGUGGAGGGUCAUUGGAAACUGGAAAACUUGAGUGCAGAAGAGGAAAGUGGAAUUCCAUGUGUAGCGGUGAAAUGCGCAGAGAUAUGGAGGAACACCAGUGGCGAAGGCGACUUUCUGGUCUGUAACUGACGCUGAUGUGCGAAAGCGUGGGGAUCAAACAGGAUUAGAUACCCUGGUAGUCCACGCCGUAAACGAUGAGUGCUAAGUGUUAGGGGGUUUCCGCCCCUUAGUGCUGCAGCUAACGCAUUAAGCACUCCGCCUGGGGAGUACGACCGCAAGGUUGAAACUCAAAGGAAUUGACGGGGACCCGCACAAGCGGUGGAGCAUGUGGUUUAAUUCGAAGCAACGCGAAGAACCUUACCAAAUCUUGACAUCCUUUGACAACUCUAGAGAUAGAGCCUUCCCCUUCGGGGGACAAAGUGACAGGUGGUGCAUGGUUGUCGUCAGCUCGUGUCGUGAGAUGUUGGGUUAAGUCCCGCAACGAGCGCAACCCUUAAGCUUAGUUGCCAUCAUUAAGUUGGGCACUCUAAGUUGACUGCCGGUGACAAACCGGAGGAAGGUGGGGAUGACGUCAAAUCAUCAUGCCCCUUAUGAUUUGGGCUACACACGUGCUACAAUGGACAAUACAAAGGGCAGCGAAACCGCGAGGUCAAGCAAAUCCCAUAAAGUUGUUCUCAGUUCGGAUUGUAGUCUGCAACUCGACUACAUGAAGCUGGAAUCGCUAGUAAUCGUAGAUCAGCAUGCUACGGUGAAUACGUUCCCGGGUCU
rnacentral:rRNA from 1 species